GUGUACAACUUGAGGGAGAAUAUUUAAGAAUUUCAUGAUUAUGAAAAAAUCUGUAAUUGAUUAGUAAAAUUAAUGAUUUGAUUGAUGCUUGUAUAAAUAAGUGAUUUAUAAUUUAUUGAUAGCAGCCAUAUUCUGUAUAAAUAUAUACUAUAUUACACACACAAGUGAAUGGAAUAUGGCCUUUUGAGGUUUGAGUUUGCAGGCGUAGCCUUUUGGUAGUUGUACCAUUUAAUUCAUUCUCAUUUUAUUUUCUCAUAUCUUUUAUAUUAUUCCAAAUCUUAACAGAUUUGAUUCAUUUUGGAUAUUGGUGCUUUGGCUUGAUGAUUGAA
rnacentral:misc_RNA from 1 species